rnacentral:rRNA from 1 species
GAAUGCUGACAUAAGUAACGAUAAAGCGGGUGAAAAGCCCGCUCGCCGGAAGACCAAGGGUUCCUGUCCAACGUUAAUCGGGGCAGGGUGAGUCGACCCCUAAGGCGAGGCCGAAAGGCGUAGUCGAUGGGAAACAGGUUAAUAUUCCUGUACUUGGUGUUACUGCGAAGGGGGGACGGAGAAGGCUAUGUUGGCCGGGCGACGGUUGUCCCGGUUUAAGCGUGUAGGCUGGUUUUCCAGGCAAAUCCGGAAAAUCAAGGCUGAGGCGUGAUGACGAGGCACUACGGUGCUGAAGCAACAAAUGCCCUGCUUCCAGGAAAAGCCUCUAAGCAUCAGGUAACAUCAAAUCGUACCCCAAACCGACACAGGUGGUCAGGUAGAGAAUACCAAGGCGCUUGAGAGAACUCGGGUGAAGGAACUAGGCAAAAUGGUGCCGUAACUUCGGGAGAAGGCACGCUGAUAUGUAGGUGAAGUCCCUCGCGGAUGGAGCUGAAAUCAGUCGAAGAUACCAGCUGGCUGCAACUGUUUAUUAAAAACACAGCACUGUGCAAACACGAAAGUGGACGUAUACGGUGUGACGCCUGCCCGGUGCCGGAAGGUUAAUUGAUGGGGUUAGCCGCAAGGCGAAGCUCUUGAUCGAAGCCCCGGUAAACGGCGGCCGUAACUAUAACGGUCCUAAGGUAGCGAAAUUCCUUGUCGGGUAAGUUCCGACCUGCACGAAUGGCGUAAUGAUGGCCAGGCUGUCUCCACCCGAGACUCAGUGAAAUUGAACUCGCUGUGAAGAUGCAGUGUACCCGCGGCAAGACGGAAAGACCCCGUGAACCUUUACUAUAGCUUGACACUGAACAUUGAGCCUUGAUGUGUAGGAUAGGUGGGAGGCUUAGAAGUGUGGACGCCAGUCUGCAUGGAGCCGACCUUGAAAUACCACCCUUUAAUGUUUGAUGUUCUAACGUUGACCCGUAAUCCGGGUUGCGGACAGUGUCUGGUGGGUAGUUUGACUGGGGCGGUCUCCUCCUAAAGAGUAACGGAGGAGCACGAAGGUUGGCUAAUCCUGGUCGGACAUCAGGAGGUUAGUGCAAUGGCAUAAGCCAGCUUGACUGCGAGCGUGACGGCGCGAGCAGGUGCGAAAGCAGGUCAUAGUGAUCCGGUGGUUCUGAAUGGAAGGGCCAUCGCUCAACGGAUAAAAGGUACUCCGGGGAUAACAGGCUGAUACCGCCCAAGAGUUCAUAUCGACGGCGGUGUUUGGCACCUCGAUGUCGGCUCAUCACAUCCUGGGGCUGAAGUAGGUCCCAAGGGUAUGGCUGUUCGCCAUUUAAAGUGGUACGCGAGCUGGGUUUAGAACGUCGUGAGACAGUUCGGUCCCUAUCUGCC